UUUGGCCUACGGGGGGCAGCAGUGGGGAAUAUUGGGCAAUGGGGGAAACCCUGACCCAGCAACGCCGCGUGAGGGAAGAAGGUUUUCGGAUCGUAAACCUCUGUCCUUGGUGAAGAGAAGAAGACGGUAGCCAAGGAGGAAGCCCCGGCUAACUACGUGCCAGCAGCCGCGGUAAUACGUAGGGGGCAAGCGUUGUCCGGAUUUACUGGGUGUAAAGGGUGCGUAGGCGGGUAAGCAAGUCAGAAGUGAAAUCCAUGGGCUUAACCCAUGAACUGCUUUUUAAACUUUUUAUCUUGAG
rnacentral:rRNA from 1 species